UUUCCCUAAGUGGGAGCUUCCAUGAUCCUAAUAAAUUUAAUAAUAAUUAAAAAAUAUAUAUAUAAUUAUAUUAAUUAUUUUAUUAAAUAAAAAUGCGCGUUAAUACGACGCACAUAAAGGAAACUUCCAUUUAAAAAAUUGUUAGAGAGUUGUAUGGACUUACAAUCCGCUAGCUUGUUGUUUCUUGUUGUCUUCGAAAAUUAUACUUGGGUGACAGCGCUUCAAGUGUUCGUUUAUAGCCGACGUGCUACCGUGGUAUGCGAGCUCAGCUUAGCAAAGAGUACAUACGCACAGUGGCAUCCUCCAUAUUUUCCUUGAAAUAAUUCCAGGCUCUGGUUAUUCUGGUCCGCUUUUUUGUCUUUAUGCCGCUUUCACGUGUAACCAUCUCUGCCCUUUUUGGAAAUUGGCGGUGUUUUCAACUCCUCACCGGCGAUUCACUUGGCUCGUUGUCGUCGGUUCAUCUGCGUAUGUCCGAUUUCCUCCUUGGGAAGGCGGCAGCGUGCAUAAAAACACCGAGAGGCGUCGGAUGGCUUUUUAAGGAUACUUUUAUUGACCAAAACAAAAACGUGGGGGAUGAAGCCACUCAACUCGGCGCUAGCCGCGCACUUUUCCAACUCGCCGAUUUCGCUCCCUGUCUCUCGCUCGCCCACUUUCUUCCUCUUCGCUCAAUCUGACAACGCCGGUCACAUUGAAAUAACACCCUUGGGGGUGCCAGUAACAACCACUUGUAUCGCGAGCACCUGCCAUUCUAAACUUUAUCUGCAUGUAAUUUUUUUUAACCCGUCAUUACCCGUCCGCGGUAUGUUUUGCCCGUCGACGCAUUUACGUCAUCGAUGACGUCGACAACGUCGACUAGUCGGGACAGCUCUUAUAUAUAUAUACAUAUGCAGACAGACAGACAGACAGACAAGAUAGAUAGAUAGAUGGAUAAAUAUACAGUGAGGAGCAGAAGUGUUUGCAAGUUCACCCACUUAGAAAUUAGGUAGAUGUUUGAAAUCUCAAUCAUAGAUGAGUUUCCACUCAUAGAGACAUAAUCUAAAAAAUAAAUCCAGAAAUCACAUGAUUUUUUAAAAAAUCAUUUAUUUGUAAUUUACUGGGGUUCCUACGUAUUUGUACCCCAGAGAAUCAGCACUAAUUAUGACACUCAAAGAGAUGUCAGUGUACCUUUAAAAAAGUCCAUCUUAACCCAUGAGUAACCACCCACCACCCGUUUGAGCUCAAUAUUCCCACCUGUACAACCCACAGUCAGUCAUUAUCCAACUGCUACCAUGGGUAAGACCAGAGAGCUUUCAAAAGAGAAGGCUAUGGAGCAAUUGGAAAGCAGUUUGGAGAAAAUAAAUCAACAGUUGCAAUAAUUGUUACAAAGUGGAAAAGGCUAAACCUGACUGAUAAUCUACCUUGGACUGGGGCUCCAUGUAAAAUCUCUCCUCGUGGGGCAUCACUCAUAAAGAAAAAAGUGAGGGCUCUGCCGAGAACUACAAGGCAGGAGCUGGUCAAUGACCUAAAACGAGCUGGAUGCACAGUUUCAAAGGCUAUUGUCAGUAGAACACUAUGGGGCAAUGGUUUAAAAUCAUGCAUUGCUCAGAAGGUUCCCCUGUUGAAGCCAGGACAUGUGAAGACCCGUCUGAAGUUUGCCAGGGACCAUCUGAAUGAUGUAAAAGGUUCAUGGGAGAAAGUCAUGUGGUCAGAUCAGUUCAAAAUAGAACUUUUUGGUGCAAACUUUACUUGUCUUGAGUGAAGGAAAAAGAAAGAUGAGUACAAUCCCAAGAACACCAUCCCCACUGUGAAGUAUGGGGGUGGAAACCUCAUGUUUUAUGGCAAAUGGGACAGGAUGACUGUUAGGGAUAGGAAUUUAUACGAUUUUUACGAUUCCGAUUCCAUUAUCGAUAUUGCUCAAUGAUUCAAUUCUUUUUCGAUUCUCUUAUCGAUUGUAAUUUGGGGAAAAAGAAGAACAAACAUUUUGAUUGGCAUCUAGUUUGUUUAAUUAGAAGUCACAACCUUACAAACUCACACUGUAAAAAAUUGCUGUAAAUUUACGGCCAAUUUUGUACACUAAAAUACCGUUUUUAUGUUAAACAGUUUAUUAUGUAGUUAGCAAUGCAUUGUGGGUAGUUAGCAAUGCAUUGUGGGUAGUUAGCAAUGCAUUGUGGGUUACCAACAUUAAAGCAACAAGACAAAUGCUGUAAACGGUAUGUUAAUGUUUCAAUUACAUGACACUACCGUAUUUUUUGGAAACUGAGUUUUGACUGGAAAUUUGGAGCAUUGUGGCAAUAUAGACUAUGUUUUUUGCCAAUUUAAAUUAAAAUAACUAGACACCGCAAAUAAUUUGCCAACAAAUCCUGGAGGACCUAAUUACCCAUAAUUUGGAUGUUGGAGACUCUUCAGAGGAUGACUUUAGAUGAAAUUUGCUGCUACUCAUUGCUUGUUGUUCAACUCAUAUUGGGAUUUAUGUAUACCAAUUUAUAAACAGUAAGUUAAUUAAGUCUUACUCAUAUUACCUAAAACGUUUUAUAUCAAACUAAAGUUCUGAGAAUGCUGGAUAGCGAUAUAUAAUAUUGAUGUUAAUUCCUCUGGAGUGCCAGUAGAGGGCAGUUUUUGAUUGUUUUGCAAAAGAUGCAGCUGAGAGAAUUUUUGGGGGAAAUAAAUAAAAGUGUCUCAUAUGUAUCCAACAGUGGAGUUAUAAUACGAUACAAUUAAUUUUUAAUUAUUUCUCUAUUUAUAUUUAUAUUUAUUAUGUUUAUGUUUUGAUUGUUAGUAGUUUUAAAUUUUGAUGUUGCAAAUGUUAGCUAAAUGCAUUAGCGUUAGCUGUACCGGAUGAUGUAUGGGUGUUGAACCUCAGACUACAACACAAUCACAUCGACGCAAACACCAGACUGGAUGUUUGGUUGGCCUAUACGCUAUAUUAUUAUAUUAUUUGACGUCACCUCAAUUCUAUUCUACUCAUAUGUUAUGUUUCUUGUUGUAUCCCUACUCUGAUCUAAACUGGCCCUUCUCCAAAAAUUGUAGCAUUCCAUCACCCUGUAGGCUGAUUUAUGCUUCUGCGUAGUGGUGACGGCAGAUCUACGCCAUAAACGCGGACCCGAUUACGACCCUACGCCAUAGCCUGAUGUGCACCUCUAAAAAGUCCUGACUACACAUCACAUCAAUGCGCGUGACGUGAACGUCGAAGGACUGUGAUUGGUCUGCUCAGAACAUUGUUUCCGGUUCAGCACAACAACAACACAAUUUUCAAACAUUCGCAAACGACUUCUGUGUCGCCUACGCUUCAACAUUUGUAUUGACAACAUUUGUUGUUUAAUAUUAAUUAGCUGCAGCUGCAAAUGCACACGUUCCAUCUCCAUUGCCAUUGCUGUCAAUGACCGGUGGAAAAUUAAAGGAAUUUGACAAGAGUCCCCCAAAACCAUUCAAAGACAAAGCCACACCAAUCUAGUGGUAUGGCGGUGAAUUACUGUGGAAACGUCACUGGCUGUGACAAACUUUGUCCCCACGUCACACAUGUGACCAAUGUUUACAUUUGGAGUAAAUUAGACAGGUGCUUUUUUGCUUCAAUUUUUUUUACAAACUCUUACGUCUUCAUAUUGAAGAACAACAUGGUCAAUUAUUUUUCAACCAUUGUAAACUCAAACCCUGAUAAACAUCAACAAAAAAGCAUUGAGCAGACAACCAGGGCGUGAACUGGAAAAUCACCGGCAUGCAAGCACUAUGGAAACGAUGCAUAGCUGGAAGAGAUUGGCCAAUCAACCCAUAAGCAACCCAGAGCUAUAAAAGCAGGAAAGGAAGAUGGCACCCUGGUUUGGCUAUUGAAACUUGCAGUCCUGUUCAGCUGGAGACGUUGGCAAAAGGUAACCAGAGAGGCAGCCGGUAAGCAGCAGAAUUAAAAGAUGAAAUGUGCCAGCAGCGGCCAUUACCACAUGGCUUGACUCACCGGUGGAAAUGUUUGGACAAUUGUAGUAUAUAUUUUAGAGGUAAUUUGGGAUUUGAGAAUUGAGACACUGGUUUAAUAUUGACAUUGACAUUUAAUGUAUUCUAGCUUUCACUUUUUGUUAUUGUGUUAAUUAAAACAAUGUAAUUUAAUGAAUUUAUCCUUUUAUGGUAUAAAAGUAUAAAUAUUUAAAAAUGAGAGAUUUAAACACUAAUUUGAAAUUAGUUAUUGACUGUGUGCAAUUUAAAGAGUUAAUUGACUGUUCUAAAAUAGUUGUAGUUUAAGUGCUAGAGAUUCAAUGUUAAUGUUGAAUUGUUUAGUCAAAUGCAACUGUUGACAUUUUCUUUUUGUAUUUAUUGAAAGUUUUCACCUAAUGGAGAAAGGUUUCCACAUUGCUCAAAUAAAAAAUAAAAGAAAGGCACGGCCUCCCAAAGUCGGUAUCAGUUUGUCAACGAUCCAGCACACUCCUGCUCGUCGUUUGUCCUUGACCGAUCACCACUUCUGACCCAGCCUGUCCUGCUUGACCCGAUUACGCCAGAUCUCCGGCCUGACCUACACGACCCGACUGCACCAUCUAUCUAGUUCCUGUCAGUUUUCACUGCCUGCCAACACGAUGAAACAAAACCUGUUCUGUUUCGAACCUGACAUCCGCAUUUCUUUCUGUACUAGACGGAAAUAUAUGCAUUCAUGGACUGUAAAGUCAUUUUCCCAGAUAAUACUGUUAAAACACAGUAUAUCGUUAAAAAUGCAGCAUACUGCAGCUCCUCAGUUGCCUGCUCUUUACUGUGAAUUCUUGUGAUACAGGAAUAUACAGUUUUUCCUGGAUUACAGACAAAUAUUUUUACAUUACCAAAACUGUAAAAUAACAGUCUGUUAAUAGCAAUCCUGCUGACGGACUUUUACUGUGUUUUCUAUAAAUACAGGAAUCAACAGUUUUAUACCAAGACUGUAAAAUAACAGUCUGGUGAUGGCAAUCCUGCUGACGGACUUUUAUUGUUUUUUCUAUAAAUACAGGAAUCAAGUUUUUCUGGAUUACUGUGAAACAUUUUUACAUUUACAUUUUUACAUUACCAAGACUGUAGAAGAACAGUAUAUAAAUGGCAACCCUGCUGCCAGCUCUUUACCGUUAUUUUACGCUGAAAUUUUUUACAGUGCACGACUCACAAAGUCAAAAGAGGACCAAAGCCUUGAUGCUAACUGUGGCAAUGCGGAACUGGCAAAUACACAAGAAUGUGUAACAUUUUACUGUAACAUUCUUGUAAUAAAAAUAAAAAAAACUUUUUAAAAGGACAUUUGAGCUAAUAGCACUCAAAAAUAUUAAAGAUAAUACUGUCAAACAAAAAAGAACAGUGGGUAGAGCAAUUGUGCAAAAUUAACAAUUCUUUUGCAGAAAAAUAAGCAUGUCUCCUUUUUCAGGAAGGAUAUGUGCUCUUUCUGGACUUACUUACGGUGUCUCCAACAGGGGAGAACACCCUCUUAGAUGGGGUGGAGGAAGCCUGCACACACAGAAAAUGUUCAGCUAGUCCAGACAGCAGGGGCAGAGUAACUCGUUUUUUUCCACCACCAUAGUGUGGCCCUAUCCUUGGAGGGGAUGGAGGGCAUGCUACAACUGGGUCUCCUGAUCCACUAUCAAGGGGCUCCAAUUUUUCCAAAUAAUUUCAGCUCGCUCUCCUCUUCUUUAAAGAGUUCCUCCAAGGCUGUCCUUUUCUGCUUUACUGGUGGUGCUAGUGCCUGAAAUUAAAUCAACAUGAAGCAAAUAUACAGUAUAUGGGCAUCACAAAAAUUUGUUAGUUAACCAUACAAAGUCUUCAUCUACUUCUUCCUCCUCUCCAUCUUCAGAGCGUUCCCUUUGCGUCUCUCCUUGCUCCGGGAGCUUGAGAGGUGAUAUAAACAAAAUACAAAAUUAACUUUUAAUAUAGAGCCAUGAAUGAAAGGUCUCACUCUCACAAUGUAAUAAAAUGCAAUCAAAAGACAUAGGCAAAUUCAAAUACCUCAUCGGUUGCUGCCACUGUGUUUGCAGUGAUUGCUGCUUCCCAGAUACUGCUUCACCAUUAUUCACUUUGGAUUUAAAUCAGGGGUCCAUGCUGGUUGCCUCCUCCAGGAAUCUCUGGAUAUCAGUUCCCUUAAAUUUCAAAAGGGAGAACAGGAGAAAGGGGGACAGGGUGACAUUAUCUGAAUUAUUUACUGCUCUUAUUUCAUUUAAGAGAAAUAAUGUACCUGGUAGCGUUUGGAAAGAUAAUUCCAGAUGUUCUCCUUGACGCUCCUUGUGAAGGUGUUUCUAUUUAAAUACAACUUUUGCCAUGUGGGACCUCUUCUUCCAAACAAUGACUGCAUGAAUUUGUGCUGCCCAGUUGGAAAUAGUGCAAUUGUACAGCUUCUGUGCUCCCAGGUGAAACGUAUGAGCAAAACAUGGCAUAUUUCACAAUUUGCAGCAUUUUGAUAGCUACAUCCAUGUUAGCUGCAUUGUCAACAGUAGCCGCCACAACCUUUUCCCUGACACCAUAUUCCUCGAGGAUGUCAUUGAUCUCCUCCGCUACAGCUGAGCCUGUCUGAGCUUGGUACACGGCUUUGGUUUUAAGCGCCUUUUCCUUAGCCUGGCCAUUGCUGACUGGUCACAAAAAAGGUUACAAGGUCAUAAAAAGGUCAUAGAAAAUGUUACUGGUGUUUUUUUUUUUUUUCCAAUACACUGACAAAGUGCAGAGUAACUGUGAGGUAAUGAUCUUGACUAAAACUUGUCCAUCCAUCAGCAGUGAUGGCUGCCUUUGACACUUGUUUCAGCUCAGUGAUCAGAUUUCCCUUUUCGACAGCAUACCAUGCAGGGAUCAAUGGGUUCGCUAAGCUUUCUCUUUUUGGGGCAUUGUAUUUUGGAUUGAGAAUCUUGGUCAUCUCCCUAGGAAAUAUAAUGAAAAAUAAUGAGUGAAACAUCUUGUUAACUUGGAUAUCCUCCAGUUGUGCUAAGUCAUAUUGUCAAAAUUGAAUAUUUCCUCCACAAUUGAGUACAUUCACCUACCGAAAUUCAAGGGCAUCUACUAUAGCAAAUGGAUGCAAGCCCUUAACAACAAACUUAGUGACUGCUCGGCAGUGUUGGGCACGUUACUUUAAAAAAGUAAUUAGUUAAAUUACUCACUACUUCUUCCAAAAAGUAACUGAGUUAGUAACUGAAUUACUCUAUAGUAAAAGUAACUAGUUAUCAGGGAAAGUAACUAUUUCCGUUACUUUAAAAAGAACUUGUUGUAUGUCAAAGAAUUUGAAAUUUUCUGAGCAGUAUUCGAGUCAGUGGAAUAGAGAAGAACAGACAGGUAGUUGACUUGUUAGGUGCCUCAGCAGAUUUGAAUUGCUUACAUAAAUGCAUAAAUUACACAUUACAUGCAGGUUCUUUCCUUUAAUUUCGACAAACUUGAAAUAGUGUCUCCACCUCUUAAAGGACAAUUUUUCUUCCGAAUGCUCUGCCAUCCCGACCCUGUGCAUCUGAUUUGCAUGUGUGUGUUGGCCGCACGCGCUGUUCCGGUUUGCUUGUGAAAUCACCGGCUCUGAUUGGCUUACCACGACACAUGACUCUAACCCACAGCCAAUCACAAUCACUUCCAUCGCAUCUCUCGAGGGGGUGCAUUCAGGUAGGCUCGUUUCCCGACAAUUCACAUAACCUACAAAGCGUCUGCCGUCCUCAAGAUGGAAGCAGAAUUAUUGCUAGCUGGCAGUGGGAGAUGGGAAUGAGGCUAGCAUCAGGUGUAGCAAACACAGACACGUUACCAAACUUUGGAAAGCAUUGUCUAAUUGAAUGAGCAGGGACAAACAGCUUGGAGUCAAAAGUACGUGCGCUAUUCUCGAACCUGAACGCACCCCAAGUCUUGGAUGACAAAUCAACAGAGCAGAGAGUCGACUCGACACGGCUGGUAGUUUCUUCAAUUUAUUUAGAGUAAGUAACGCACCGCUUUUGACCGUCAGUAACGGUAACGGCGUUGUAACGGCGGAAAAAGUAAUUAGUUAGAUUACCCCGUUACUGAAAAAAUAACUGCGUUACUCCCAACACUGCUGCUUGGCGACAUUCAUCUACCCUGGCCUGGGGCUUUUUACUUUUGCCUGCCUCGAUGAAAGGAGAAGCGAGAGCAGGUAGUGAGCAGCAGGAGCGAGAGUUGUCAGCCUCUGAGCCAGCCAGGCUCACUCUCUGGUCACGGUCAUCUUCAACAUGAAAUGCCGACGGCAUUCGUUUAAUAGCACAAAGAUAGCGUUGCAUCCUUCACAAAGAAACACCUAGGCAGUACUUACCAGAGUUUCCUUCCAUAGUAAGCGCAGACGUGAUCACACCUUGGCUACUGUAGCCGCUACUUCCGGGUUGCAAUGCAUAGGUCCGAAGCGUACAAAAACGUGACACUCAUUUAAAAUGAUUGCAUGCUUUGUACGCAAAUGUUUCUGCAUAUCGGUCAUAUUCCCUCACGACGCAGUUAUUUCUCUCCUUGCAAUGACUGCAGGUCGCUUUGCUGCCAUUUUUCCUCGUGAAGUGAAGCCACACUUUCGAGCGGUUCAACCUACGCAGUGCCAUUGUUAUGUUUACAGCUGCAAUUCCCAAUGCUAAACCAGCGUAACCUAAUCACGUAGUAGUACUUGCUGAAUCUAGCGUACGUGACAUGCAUAAGUUACGUGACGUAAUUAGUGCUGGUUGGAAUCGAUAAGAGAAUCGUUAAAUAAACUGCCAAACAAUUCCUUGGAAUUGAAACACGCGGAACCGGUUCUUACAGGUUCUCGAUUCCCAUCCCGAACGACUGUACUGUAUAAAGCAGAGGAUGAAUCACCAUUCAUGUACAGGAUGAAUGGUGAAAUGCAUCGUCAGAUUUUGAGCCACAACCUCAUUCCCUCAGUCAGAGACUUGAAGAUGAGUCAUGGCUGGAUCUUCCAACAUGACAAUGAGAAAACCUGGUCAAGAACCACAGAAAGCGUCUGACCUCCAUAAUUGCAAAAAAAGUCUCCUGCACUAAAUAUUAGCACUGAUUUUCUCAGGGGUAAAAAUACUGAUAAAUCCAAGUAAAUUACAAAUAAAUUAUUGAAAAAUCAUACAAUAAGUUCCGGAUUUUUAAAAAUGUUUUUUUAGAUUAUGUCUUUACGAGUGGAAAUGAACCUAUGAUUGAAAUUUCAGACCUUAUCCUUUUUUCCAAGUGGGUGUAAAACACAAGGGGUGCAAAUACUGCUGCUCCUCACUAAUAUACUGCAAAUAUAUACAGUAUAUAGUGAAUUCAUUUUAUUGCUGACACUGCGUUUCAGGGUCAUCAACAUGUUGUGCCCCCCAUCCCCCCUUCCACAAAUGUCAAACUCCACCUAUGGUGACAAACAGUAACUAUGAAGUAUACCUAAAGGCUGGUUACAAACUGUAUAAGUGCUGGCUGUCUCGAUACCUGUUGCCUUUGGUUCGAGUUGAAUCAUGCUGUGCUGUAAUUCCAAGAUGUUCCUUGAAUUGGAUGUGGGGUUUUUAGCGGUUGACAGUGUUUUUGAGCCAGCGCAAAGUUUGCAACGCACGGAGAUAUUUUUUGUCAUCUUUACUGGACAAAAAUGUGAAGUAAUGGCUUUAUCUCCAGUGGGCAAAUGCAGCCGUUUGUGGUAUCUCUCCUGCCUCUUUCAUUGUUUGCGUCCUGACGAGGUAGCCACAGUAGGCUAUGUUGUUUUGGCCGCAGACUCUCAGCGCUCACACAGCAUGGUAAUGCAUGUAACCCGUAUUUUUCUGUCCUCCGAUGAGAAAACGUGACAUGUGAUGUCACACCCAAACUCAAGAGCAAAAUUUUGCAUUAGAAAUGCUCUCCGUAGAUGUCUACAGUACAUACGUUAUGAGGCAAUAACAAAAUAGUAACGCACCAGACACUAAGGAAACUAACUUUAAUCUGACUACUGGUUUUGAAAAAUCAUUGCUCGUUUCUACUAGUGACGGGAAAAGUCGUUCACCUGAGGAAACGAAUCAAUUCCGGUUCGUUCAGUAAAAAGAUUUGUUCAAACAAAUCGUUCAACGAAUCGUUUGCCCUCCUCAUCCCCCCCACCCACAACCGCCCAAAUGAAUCGUUCGGUCAGUGAACGGGAAGUGACGUUGCCAAACGAAUCACCAAAAGACCGCUUAGCAUAUAUAACUAAACAGGAAGGCUUGGUCCCUCCCCCUCUUCCACAGUACACAGGCUUUUCAUUGGCCGCUCUCUUCGUAGAUUAGAAGUGAGUAACAGACUGUGUUUUUCUUUCUUUUUUUUUCACUGCCUCGUCUCUGCAGCCCAGCCGCUGCAGCAAUGAGAAUUUCCGCGUCUAUCAUAUUUCUAUGGGAUCAAAGCCAUGGCUUGUGCUUGCUUCACUUUGAUAUAGGAAACGGUUAAACAUUUCCCCUUUUUUUAAGCACAAACUUUUUCAAUCACGCUAAAUUACGUGUACGCUCCCUUCCGUAUUCGUGGUUUAAAUGCGUGUUUACGUGAGCUGGCUGCUCGUGAAAGCCAUUUGAUAUACCACCAAAUCAUUUCGGCUGAAGAACAAAUAAAUGUGGAAUUUAAAUAAACUGUCUUCGGCUAUUUUUUCCGGUUGAGUGAGAUUUAUUGCACACAAAUAAGAAAAUAUAAAAAAUAUUAAUAAAUAAUCAAUAUAUUAUGUAUAUUAAUAAAUAUUAAAUCAGCGUUAUAAAUAAAAUGUAUUAUUAUUAUUAUUAUUAUUAUUAUUAUUUGGCUUCUCUGACACGAAAAUAAAUAAAUAAAACAACACUCGAAAAAAUAUUACCUAAAAAUCGUGUUGAAAUGUCAUUUUUGCACUGGUAUUAAUAUAUAAAUAAUCCCAUCAACUCCACGCAGUCAUCCCCUCCCGAUCUCAGAUCGCCAAAUGCAGACGAAAAGAGAAUCGUUUGCUCUUUACAAUGUAACCAUUCCACUCUCAUUGGUAUGUUAAGAAAAUGGAGACAUACAUGUAUAUAUACAUCCUACGUCCCCGCGUUUAAUUUUUGGACGCUUUAGUCGCACAGGAUGGACUCAACGUUAAUUAAUUUGCGCCCCAACCCGACAAGCUGUGACACGGAAAAAAAAAAAACUCGGAAAAAUAUGUCAUGAAACUACCGUUUCAUAGCAAAUCAGUAUUAUGGUGAUCAUACUAAAUAGUAAUUUUCCAUAGGCACAGAUUAGAUAAAUUUCGCUGCCAUGAAGUCCAGCUAGUCUCUUGACAGCUUUCUCGCCCGCCCCCGCGACGUAUCCAUAGCUCAGCCUUAUCGCCUUGUAGCUACUGGCGAAAGUUUUAACGUACUGUAAAGUGGAUACAAUGUCGUCAUAUGUGGUCUCGAGUCUGUCGAGAAAAGCACAGUAAACUUUGCUCACUGUGUUUAUGUGGUGAUUUUUGUGCAUUUGAGUAGCAUAUGAUAGGCUCAACAUGAAAGAAUAUGUGAUAAAGCCCUUUCCUUUCAGUCGUUAGCUCGUUCACUGCCGCAGCGCUGCUGCGUGACUGCCGGUGUAGGCUGACUAUAAAUUAGCGUAGCAGUCUAGCAGAACGAAUCAUCUAAGCAUUCUCGGUAGGACGGAGAGUCAGUGAACGGGAAGUGACAUAACUCAGUCUUGCCCCCUGCCUGCAUGCUGGCUGCUUAUUGGCCACACGUGGAAGUGAGUGACAGACGCCCUGAUUCUGUUUCCGCUCCCUCCCCUGCCCGCGAUGAGGCUGGCGUCUGAUUGGUCGUGUGCUAUGUCAGUAGACGCUGCCGCUUGCUCAACGCCCUCCCACGCAGAUAAUAAGGGACCCAACUUCAUAGAACGAAUCAGUGCAGAAGAUGAUUAGUUCGGUCUCGUUCACCCAAACAAUUCGUUCAAAAAGAACGAAUCGUUCACGACCGAUACAACACUAGUUUCUACAAUAAUCAGAUUACGCUCAUUCAAGUUUUUGCUCCAGUAUAGCAGUAAUUAUUUCAGCAAAACCUAACCUAAAAUAAGGUUGCAUGUCUUCCAAUUAAUUUUUUACUUUACACAUUUCACCACAGUAUACCUUGUAUUCAACUGAAAUAGUAUUUCAGAAGCAAAUUAAACCCUUUCAUAAAAGCAAAUUGAUUUAAUAACAUUUUUUAUUUUUUAUGUACUUUGGAUCUCUCCCUUCACCAGGAACUCCCCCCACACCAACUAAUGGAACCUCAGAAUCGGAAACGAGAAUCGUUCGGAACCGGAAUCGAAACGUGGAAUCGAAAUCGGAACUGGAAUCGUUCAAUUUCAAAUGAUGCCCAACCCAAUUUAUAAGUCAAUUAUAUACUUUGAUAUAUUCAAGUUGAUUUAAUCACAUUUUGUCUCUUUUAUUU